GCGCCGGUACCUCAGUUAGGACAGAGGAUCCGUUUGCCGAACAGGAAAGUCGCGGGUUCGAAUCCCGCCCGGCGCACCA
rnacentral:tRNA from 1 species